rnacentral:rRNA from 1 species
GACGAACGCUGGCGGCGUGCCUAAUACAUGCAAGUCGAGCGGACCUCUUCGGAGGUCAGCGGCGGACGGGUGAGUAACACGUGGGCAACCUGCCUGUAAGACUGGGAUAACACCGGGAAACCGGUGCUAAUACCGGAUAAUCCUUUUCCUCUCAUGAGGGGAAGCUGAAAGACGGUUUCGGCUGUCACUUACAGAUGGGACCGCGGCGCAUUAGCUAGUUGGUGGGGUAAAGGCCCACCAAGGCGACGAUGCGUAGCCGACCUGAGAGGGUGAUCGGCCACACUGGGACUGAGACACGGCCCAGACUCCUACGGGAGGCAGCAGUAGGGAAUCUUCCGCAAUGGACGAAAGUCUGACGGAGCAACGCCGCGUGAGCGAAGAAGGCCUUCGGGUCGUAAAGCUCUGUUGUCAGGGAAGAACACGUACCGGAGUAACUGCCGGUACCUUGACGGUACCUGACCAGAAAGCCACGGCUAACUACGUGCCAGCCGCCGCGGUAAUAC